rnacentral:snoRNA from 1 species
GAGACUCUACUUUCAGGGAUCAUUUCUUUAGUCUGGAACUAGAGGAUUGUGUUUCUACAGAGGGUGGUCUGGCUGUCCAUGAUGAUGAUGAAGAUGUUUCCUUCAGAGCAGGAAGCUGGUGAGAAGAUGAGAAUCUUCUUCACUGAUGAAGACUGUUCAGUGUUUCUGGAUGAGACACUGAAGGAGGAAACAUUGUCUGAGUGGA